ACCCAUAAUCCUCAGCAAUAUGCAGAAUGGAUCGAUAUAUUCAUCAUCACAAUGAUUUCUACCAUAUUUACCUUUGAUGACAUUUGCUUUUUUCAUUUUUGUUAUAGACAUUUAUUGAUGCAUCAGAGAUUAUUCAUAAACUUAAAGGUUUAAUAACUUGAAUGUGUUUAUUAUAAUCUGAUAAAACAGACAGAAGUUGGUUUUUGUGCGUCUAUAACGAGACGUUCCUCAGAUGAAUAUAAUGUUCAUCAGAAAAUCUCUCUGAACGUUCUGACUGUUCAGAAACGUUCAGAAACAGACUUUGAAAUGAGUCACAGGGUCAGGACUUUUAAUUUAUCUCCAUGGAAACACAUGAGGUCUUAAAUCCCGUCACAGACUUGAACACGUCACCGUACGUGUGACUAAAGACCACGAACGCUGAGUUCACAGGUGACACAUCUGGACUCAUCUUUAUGCUUCCUGAUCAUGUUUUUUUUUUUUUAUCCUUCAACACUCAAAGCUUUCACUGACUUUCAUUCACGUUAUCGGACUCGUUGAAGUAAAAGCAGACAGAUGAGAUGUUUUGAGUGUGGGCCGAGUGUGUGAUGACCCAGCGCACUGACUCACGUUACCGCCUUUAAAUCAGGAAUAAAGUCAGAACACGAAUGCAUCUGUCUACGCUUCAAAUAACUGCAGAUCUCAUAUUAAAUAAAGAUUUGUUGAACGUACAGCUUGAUAUCUGAUGUGUGAUUUUAAAAGGUCAGAUCUGUGUAUAUUUAGUGUUAUAUGUGUAAACCUGACAUUUCGUUUCAGAGACAAACUUGUCAAAUAGCAUCAAGUCAUCAGUCUGGAAGCUCAGUCUGAAACUGUCCGAGCAUGUUUUUCACACCGUCUCGACAAGUCGGAGGUGCGGCUUUAACUGAACUCUGUGUGUGUGUGUGUGUGUGUGUGUGUGUGUGUGUGUGUGUGUGAAAGUCUGCAGCAGCUUCUUUAAGUGUCUUAAAAGAUGGAAAACAAAGUGGAGUCAAAGGCCACGAUGACUGCCAACCAGAGAGAGAAAAUCCAGAGUCUUUGGUUUAAUAAUGAGUUUCAUCUUGAAGCUUUCAUCGACCCAAAGCACAUUUCAACGUGAUGACAGCACGGCGGCGUUCACGUUACACACUGAAGAGGCUUAAAUCUGAUUUUCUUUGCGUCUAAGUGAUUCUUCUAAGUGACAUUAGCUCUGGGCUGCUUGCAUACGUGGAUCUAGAUCUGAUUCAUAUCUGAUCUCCGGUCAGAUCAGACUUCAUGUGUGUGUGUGUGUGUUUUUAACAUUUCUCUGCUUCAUAUUGUGUGUUGUCAUCGUUCGGUGUCGACGCCUCACAGCCUGAUAAAAAUAAACAUGUAGGAGAGAAACAAUAGCGACGGUCGUCAACGGAGAGACGAGGAAGUUUCAUAUCUGUUGGACGUUUAUGGAGAAGCUUCUGUUCAUCUGGAGGGAAGUUAACCGAGACGCGUCAUGACUGUCUCACAUAUGAUUGUUUCUCCUCUUCCUCGUGACUCUCGCCUCCUCCUCCUCGCUCCUCUGGCUUCUCCCUGAUUACUCCUGAUGUUCAGCACCUGCUCUAAUCAGACCACCUGCCAUCCAUCAUCUCAUCAGCCGGACAGAACAUCUUCCCCGGAUCCUUCAGCUACGGCUACGGCAGCUCUCGGCCGCUCAGUCUUCACGCCGCUCUGAGUUAUUUUCUUGAGUUCUGUGUCUUGUGUAUUAACUCUCCUCUGUGUGCUUCAUCCCCUGAGUUACAAUAAAUCCCUUUUUACAUAAACUACUGAGCUGUAACGCUGUCUGUUAAGCCGGCGUCUGAUUCUGUGGCGUUUAAAAGGAUGACGGCAUCGUUAAGAACAAUGAAGCUGAAUGAAAUGUCACUUCAGGGAGCGUCAGCGAUCGACCGACACGCCCACCGCUGUCAGCGCUCAUUGAUUGGUUUGUUAACUUUUCCUGAAAAGGCUGAUGUCUCGGUAUUGAUCGCCUUCGCCGAGUCACGAUUUCUGUGAGGAAAAACAACAAAAGGGGACGACACAGAACCAGCACUCGCUAUGUCGUGGUGUGUGUGUGUGUGAUGUUACCAGCAGUAAGGCCUGCUCCUGCAGGAGCUGCUGCUGCAGGAUCUCCAGCUGCCUCUGCUCCUCCUCCAGCUGUCUACGGAUAUACUCCUAACCAAUCAGCAACCGCGGGCCAGCAUGAGACGCAGCCAAUGAGAGCGCACCGAGGCAGCAGAGAAGCGAAUCGGAGCCCAGGCAACCAGUGACAUCACCAGAGCAGGAAGGAAUAUGGAAAGAGAAGAAGAAGAAGAAGAAGGAGGAGGAGGAGGAGGACAGACGAAAGUAGAAGAUUCAUUGAAGAGGUGUGAAAGUAGGGAUUAAGUCAGAAAUAGACGAGGAGAGAUAAACAAAAAGAAGAGAGAAACAGCAGAAGGGUGUAAUUAGUAGAAGAGAGAGACAUGCUUAUUGAUGCAGGAAAGAUGUUAAAGAUCAGAGUGAAAUCAGCUGUUAAAGAGCAACACGUUUAAAACAGAAAGCAGGAAAAGUAAAACCUCCUGUUAUAUGUCGGAUAUGUGACGUUAACGCAGCAGAAACUAC